GCGCAUGAGCAGGCUGUGCUUUGGUCCAUCCACCCUCUCCAGCUUCUCAAAGUGCUUCCUGGCGUUCCGGAUGUUGAUCAGCGUGGCCGCGGAAGCUGCGACAGAAAAGGGACGGGGAGAUAAAAAGAAGUUUAAAAGGGUUUCUCUUGGCUCUGACUUACGUAUGGAGGGGUCUGACAUGACCACCAUCACGUAGGUGUUGGAUGUGAAGAUGUCAAUGAAAGCAGCAAAGUUGGAGUUCCUGACCUCCAUGCUCUGGAAAGAGGCUGCCAGCUUACUGAAAAACAAGGAAAUAAAGGGGAAAAAAAGAGUGAAGAGCUUUUGUGCCCACAUGGCCAAAAUCCCUGAUCUGAGCUGUUGGGAAGAAGGAGGAGCUGGAAUUCCCACUUGGCAAGGUGUGGUUACAGCAGGGCUUUGGCUGGGCUUGCUUUUAAAGGCAAAUUCCUCAGUUUGGGGCCAAAUGAGAACAAUAUCAGCUGAUCGUGCAUUGAAUGAGGGAAAUUCCAGACACAACCCCCCUGACCAGGCCUGCUCCCCAUGGAUACCAGGGCUCAGCCAUUCCCAGCUGGACACUCUGGAUGAGCAGCAGAAAUAAGCAUAAAAUGGGAAUAUCUGGAGACAUCUGCACAUCUGUAAACCCCCCCAGAAACUUCUCCACUAUAUCCAGCUCCACACACCCUCAGAAUGAACCUGGCAGUGGAGCCUGAGGGCUGUGCAAAGCCAAGCUUCCCAGUUGUCCACUGAAAACAGGGACAAACAGUGCCUGCAAGCCCCAUCCUCCCCAGGCAGCCCUGUGGGCCUGGGCUGGAGCAGGGCUCUCCAUUCCCAGUUUCCAAGAGAAAUAUUUCUGAUCACUUCAGCCCUGGAAUUCCUCUGCCUUGAUCCAGGAGAAGGAGGCUUGGAAUAAAACAGCACCAAAGCUCUCCCACCAUGAGCAAAGGAGGAGUUAAAUUAAAAUUUAAAUUAUUUGUGUUCCAAUAUUCCAGCUGCUGAGGAGCCAAACUGGGAUUCUCUGGAAAAAGCUGGAAUAGCCCUGAUGUCCCCAGUGCUGUUGGGAGCAGCUCACCUGCAGCUGAGCUUGAACUGUUUGAUGAUGUUGCUGAUCUUCUCAAACCUGUGCACGUCCCGCUGCUCCUUGCACUGGUAGUGGGAGAUCACCUGGGGAAGGGGCACAGCAGUCAGGGAGUGCAGCCCAGCUCUCCCAGCAGCUCUGGGAGCGCCUGGGGAGCAGGGCAGGAUCCCCUCUGCCUGAGGCUGACUGCAUCUUGGGAGUGGUUACAGAAAUUCUUGUGGGGCUUUCAUGAGGAAUUCAGCGACACGAUCAGCACACAAAGUAUGGCACAGAUGUGCCAGGUGACACCACUGUCCCCUGAGGGCUUCGCCUCAGCAGCAGUUUACACCUUGAUCCAAACCAGGUGGAAACAGAGUAAAACGUGUCCAUCACCUCAGGAAUGGGCCGAGUGCUGUGAUGGAUUUUCCAUCCUAAACUGAGGCAUUCCCCAGCCUGCACAGGCAGUGAUCCCCAAGCCAAAUCAAGCUGCCCCUCCCCAAGAAAAGCAGCUCAAAGGCAGCUGGCUCCUUGGGAAUUCUUCUCCAUUCCUUCUCUGACUCCAGCCAGAGCAGAGGGAGCAGCCCUGAGUGCCUGGAUGCCAGCACCCAGAGGGUCUGAAGGGCUUUAGGAACCCUUGAAAACACUUCCAUAAACAUUCCCACCGAGCUGGUGGUCCCAGCCCUUUAUUCCUCAGCCACAUGGAGUGAGAGCUGCAUUGCCUGCCCAAACAGCUCCAUCCCCACAGCAAACCUGACAGGAAUCUCUUCAAAACCUUAGCCCUCUCUUCACAAUCCCAAAAUCAGCUCUCACUGGACAUGUCAGGAGCCCCUACACAGGGAUCUGAAACUGCUCUAUUCAGGGAGUCACAUUUAACAGAUUUUUUUGGGUUUUUUCCUUUUUUUCCCCCCUUAACCACCUUAAACCCAUCACUUUUUAAACUUGCCCAAUUAUUCCCACAAGCACACUUUUAGCCACAUCCAAGACUUGCAGUUCCCAGUGUUCAAUUUUCUUCCUAAACUUCCCAGAUGAGGUUUUUUCACUACAAUUUAAACACAAUUUCAGAGUAAAGUUUUCACAAUAAGAUUUCCCAAAGAGAUUUUCACAGGAAGAUUUCCCUUCAAGAGAAGAGAGCAUGUUUAAGUAUAUGACAAAAAGGGAGGAGUUUUUUAAGAAGUCACAUUGCACUUAAAUUAAGCACACAUUUUUUGUAGCAACGAUCAUUUCUUUCCGUUAAAAAUGUCCUUGUAACAAUCACACUGUCACACACCCCAAGGUGGAACUAUUCAUUAUCUCCAAAAGGUCAAAAAGCAGAACUUGCCAGGCAUGGUGAGUGUUUGUUUCUGAUAGUUGAAGGAGGAAAAAAAGUCAUGGCUCCUUUCCCAAAUUCCCUCCAUCAUUUCCAAAUCACCAGCAAGGAAAACACUCCAAAUAAUUCAAGUAUUUCCUUCAGCUCAGCAAGAGUUUGGUGCAAAGUGUGAAGAGCCCAGCCCAGCAAUCAGGAAUAUGGACAAGCACCAAGAGUGGUUUUAUCCAGCACCUUUGCAGAGGGACUGGGAGCACAAGGACCUGGAAAAGCAUCACAAUCCCAUGGCUGACCCUUCAUCCAUGCUCUGGAUUUGCAGAACAUCAAAAAUCAAAAGAAAUCAGGUCCAGCUCAAAUGCCCCAGCAGGAGGAAGUGAGGAGGUUUGGUUGUGAAGCUACAAAAGGUUCCUG